UACGGGGGAGCAAGCGUUGUUCGGAUUUACUGGGCGUAAAGGGCGCGUAGGCGGCCACCGCAAGUCGGUUGUGAAAUCUCUGGGCUUAACCCAGAAAGGUCAACCGAUACUGCGGGGCUAGAGUGCAGAAGGGGCAACUGGAAUUCUCGGUGUAGCGGUGAAAUGCGUAGAUAUUGGGAGGAACACCAGUGGCGAAGGCGGCUACCUGGCCCAAUACUGACACUCAGGUGCGACAGCGUGGGGAGCAAACAGG
rnacentral:rRNA from 1 species